AGUCGCACGGGAUUGAUUGAGUAGUAAUACAAGAUCAGUCUAGUGGCGCACGGGUGAGUAACAUGUGAAUUACAUGCCCUUCAGUGGGGAAUAGCCCAGGGAAACUUGGAUUAAUACCCCAUGGUAUCGCAAGAUUAAAGGUGGCCGCAAGGCUGCCGCUGGAGGAUUGGUUCGCACCCUAUCAGCUUGUUGGCGGGGUAAUGGCCCACCAAGGCUACGACGGGUACCUGGUCUGAGAGGACGAUCAGGCACACUGGAACUGAGACACGGUCCAGACACCUACGGGUGGCAGCAGUCGAGAAUAAUUCACAAUGGGGGCAACCCUGAUGGUGCAACGCCGCGUGGAGGAUGACGGUCUUCGGAUUGUAAACUCCUGUCAUCCGGGAGUAAGACCUGGCUGUUAAUAGCAGACAGGGUUGAUAGUACCGGAAGAGGAAGGGACGGCUAACUUCGUGCCAGCGGCCGCGGUAAUACGAAGGUCCCAAGCGUUGUUCGGAAUCACUGGGCGUAAAGGGAGCGUAGGCGGCGUGGUAAGUCAGAUGUGAAAUCCCGGGGCUCAACCCCGGAACUGCAUCCGAUACUGCCAUGCUAGAGGAUUGGAGAGGUAGCUGGAAUUCUUGGUGUAGCAGUGAAAUGCGUAGAGAUCAAGAGGAACACUCGUGGCGAAAGCGAGCUACUGGACAAUUCCUGACGCUGAGGCUCGAAGGCUAGGGUAGCGAAAGGGAUUAGAUACCCCUGUAGUCCUAGCAGUAAACGGUGCACGCUUGGUGUGAGGGGAAUCGACCCCCCUUGUGCCGG
rnacentral:rRNA from 1 species